CUGUCCAGCCUGGUGGCACACCCGACAAAGCUAGCAUCUUAAAGAGGAAGAUCUGAUGCAAGGGAAGGAAGAAAGGAAGGAAAAGGAAAAGAAAAGCUCCUGAAAGCAGUUUCAGAAGGAUCGUGGGAGAGGGAAGAAGGUGAGAGAGACAAGGAGAAGACUGCCUUACAGCCUGCUCUCCUGCUAACCUGUAGCUGGUCACAACUGAGAAGGCUCCAGGGCAGAGCCUGAGAGGAAGAUCCGGGUUUAGAUCUCUGAGCUUCUGUUGGCUGGUGUGUGAUCUACAAAGAAUCUGGAGGGUCUCACAUGCUCCCGUGGGAGGUGGAGAUGCAGAAACUGAGGCACAAAGAUAUUAAAUAGCUGGCCCAAGGUCACAGAUAGUAAGCAGUGACUUGAAAACUGACAACCUGGUGUCAGAGUCUGGAGGAUGAUCAUCGUGAACAGUGAAGGGGUCCAAUGACCUACAGUGCAAACUGCCUGGGCCAGGCCUCAGGAUGCCCACAACACCAACGAGAGUCAACCAGAGAAGUCUGUGGAACCCUGAUUGAAGAAAGAGGUAGGACAAGCUGGUGCUGCCUACCCAGCCAGAGGCUCUGGAACAUUGCUAGUACUACCCUAGUGACAAAGGGCUUGGGAGCAAACAAAUGGUGAACAUCAUCUGCUGUGCUGGAUGGGCUGCUCCCAUCUGGUGUCUGCUCCAGCUCUUUGUUUUCUGCUGAAGGCACCAUUACGAUAAGGUGCCAGGACAGGCCAGAGUGAGGACAUGAUUCCAGACCACGUCCUGUAGUCCCGACCACACUGCAUUCACGGGCGAAGGAAAAGUUUGAUUUCCUAUUCCCAGAUAAGGAAACCAAGGCUUGGCAAUAGAGACUCUUCUUAGGUCACACAGUUUGAAUGUGUCAGAGCCGGUGUCUGUGCCCUAAAGAUCGCCCUACAAGCCUUGGGGGAUAGGAGAAGCCUGAACUGGGACCAUGAGGAGGCACCAAGCUAGAGAAGCAGCAGAUUUCAAACUCAGCCAGAGAAGCCCAAGGCGAGUGCCAAAGAAGAUUCUGAGAGACCUGGAAUGUUUAUGUACACAUCUAAGGAUGCCCGUGGGAGGUGGAGGGCGCGACUUGGGCAGCAAGUGGGACAGAGUGCAAGAGCUGUGGCUGAGCAACAGGAGUCACGGAUCAGGGUCCAGAGGAGCAGAUAAGCUGGUGGCUGACUCACAUGCUUUCAUGAGCGCGGAUGGUGACGUGGAUGUGUGAGUUUGGUGGAAGCCACACAAAAAUGGAUGGAGCAGCCUGGAUACAGGAGAGAGAAUAUACGCCCAAAUUCAUUUAAAAAAUUUUUAAACACUGCUGACCAAAUAAAACAUGUCCUUGGAGAUUAUUGAUUACUGGAAAGUCAUGUAGCAAAAAAUAGAAUUCCAAGUUGCAAAUGACUUUAAAGCCCGAACUAUUUUUCUUACCACCUAUUAUUUGAUACUUGUUUACCCCUUCGUUCAUUCAUCGGUUUUACCAGUCAACAACAUCAUUUGAUGUCUUUGGACCAUCUACUGUGCUAGGUGCUGGAGUUAUUGAGACUCCAGAAUGGGGCAAAACACAGUCUCUGUCCUCAACAGAAAGAAUACUAUAUUUAUAAAUUAUAAUAGACAGCAAUUGAGAAGCCUUAGCAUAGCCUUUCACAGAGUGCAUUGGAGCACAAAGGACAGAGUGACUGAAU